rnacentral:lncRNA from 1 species
CAACAAGUCGGCGAAUCCAGUUUGAAUGCACUCAAGUUGCUGUCCGUUUGUCUAAUGUCCGUCUAAUUGUAGAUUUAAAGCCAAGGACAUUUUAAAUGCGACGAUGCCAUUUGAUUGAAGAAUUCCUGGGCUUGUAGCUCUCGUUUGAACAGACGUAUUCAUAACACGACCGAGCACUCGACGCCCUAUUUUCGUCGAAAUGAAGCAUACAGCGCGACAUCAAAGACUUUGCUUAUUAAUGUCUCAAGCGUGAUUUAACUCGCAUGCAAAGGCUAAAUAGUUUGUGGGUGAUCCUGUUAUUCCCAGGAACGCUUCAGUAGCAAAAGUAUGUUUGUUUUUUUGGUCUUUUUGGGGUUUUUUUUUAAAUAUUUUAAUAACCCGGUGUUUAAUUUGAACUUUCCUAGCAACUGUUCAAUCGUGGAUUCUACUUGCUUGAGUAUUACUGUGAUUAUUCAUUUUGAUCGUGGCCUAAUGGAGAACUUCUUUUCAAUGUUUUAGUAUUCCCCUCUCGAGUUCUCGGAUUCGUGUGAAAUGAAUGAUGGAGAUAAAACUUGGCUGUCGCACCUCACUUUGGCACGCAAAAGUGCCCCGUAUUGAUUUUUUUAUUCCUCCUUUAGAUUCACGAGGAAUGGUCUGGAAAAUCGCGAUUCCGCGAAAUCAAAUCAUUCUAGUUGCACAGAAGUCUGAAUUUUACAGCGUGUGCAUUUAUUUCCACUGUUUCGCCACUUUGCAGUCGUUGUAGCAAAACGAACGAAAGUUGUUUUGCGAAAUGUCAAGCUUUACAGUUUCUGUCGUUUGAAAACAAAAACAAGUCUUUUGUUGUUGUAAAUUUAGAAAGCAAUUCAGGCGCCAGAGACGCGGCGACCUUUUGUUUUUAGUGCAGCAGCAGCCCAUUAGUUAGUUGGGCAUCAUCACAUCGUGUAAUGGCUUUUUGUUUCUUUUCCAAGAAAUGCCAUCACGUCAUUGGCUGUCAAUUCUUGAAAAGACAUUAACGGUGCAUCGCUCUUUACGUUCAGUGUCUUGGAAGUUUCUUCUUUGUAAACGCUGCAGGUUUAACUGUCUAUGAAUGUCAGUUAUUCAUGGUGCUGUACACACGUGUAGAGAUGCAAGUCAUGCAUGUCUACAUGAAACGGUACGAUCAGCAUGCCUGUUACUACUAACAUGGAGAGUUCGUUUCUCAUUAGAGCCAUCAUCUGUACAGAAACAGACUCGCAAGAAGACGUCGAUAAGAAGAUUUGGACAUGCAUUUAGUGCAUUAUCAAUUAAUUGGGUAAAGCACCAUUUCUAAGCAUCUCAAACGUUCCCUUUUCUCCAGGAUUAUGAUUCAUUUGUCAGUUAUCGUUGAGUAGGAACAUUGUGGAAACGUGUGAUGGCGACAAGCUGUAGAAGAAAGAAAGUUAGAUACGCGUAUAUAAAAAAAGAAUUGAUCUUCCAAUUCGAACAGUUCUAAAAAAAACUACCAAGGAUCGCUGUUCAUGGCGGCUGGCAAUGUACAGAAAUUCUAGGUUUUCGUUACUUAUUGUUACGAUUCGUAAAUUAUUUGACGCCUCUAGAGCUUUUGAAACUAAGGCUCCAUAUCAGAGAGAAUUACUUGUGACACGUGGCUUCUUCAUCCACAUCAAAGUUAUCUCUCCCAAGAGUACGGUCGCUUCUGGCGCCUAUGAAACGUACGCGAUAUAACCAUCCACGGAAAGCGGUCACGUCCAAGAAAAAGACGGUGAAGUGCAUGUCUGACUGAUGGGAGGCAGAAACUAUACACACAGUUUAUAGACGCAGCAAGUAAUGUUGAAGUCUUGAUUCCUACGUAUCCAGCCAUGGCCACGUUAUUUCUGUAACUUGGCGUUUUCAUUCUACGCCUAUAACUGGUAGUUGGAGUCCAGAUGAGCAUUUUCAUCCGGAAGUGCACAAGGUACGAAAUGUUUUCUGAUGGAUUGUAGUCAUCGUGACGAGUAUUGAUUUGAAAAGCAUACGAUUGCGAAUCUGUGCGAAUCGCAGACUGCAUCGAUGUGAAAAUCAUUGAAAUCGUCUUGCAACUGAUGUGCUACAUUUAUUCAAGCAGAAUUUUUCUUUUUAGUUUUUACACGACAUUAAAGGGGAAAUGCAGAUUGUCUGACGUUGCUGUGAAAAGUUGCCUAAACGUUUGAACUUGUACCUAUUUUUUGUUUUUAUGUCUUUGUCUCUGUUUGUUUUUUGUAUUUAUUUCAAAAACCAGCGGUCCCCCGUAAAAAUGAAGUAUGUUUUCGUGAUCCUCGUUACAUUACAAACCGAAAACAUGUAUUUUAAAUGAUAUCUAAAAUUUGUCAAAAAAUGAAAAGUGGGAAGGCUAUACCCUUCCCACUUUUGUCAAAAUCCGCAAAAAAUGACAUCUCUUGGAAUUCCAUGUAAAUCACGCAUUAUAAUAAUAAUUUAACGCUGAUUUAGAAAAAGUAAUUUCUUUUCUCCUCAAAUCAGCAGUUUUUUAACCAUCGAAAUUUAAUUGACUGUAGCGCAAUGUAUUUGUUCAUCCGUUUUUCAAUAAUCAUUUUUCAAUGUAAUCUCAAAUGUGAAAAUAAAUUUAGUUUUCGUGAUCA